rnacentral:lncRNA from 1 species
CACCUGAAAGGGGAAAGAAAGGAGGGGUGAGUAACAGGGGAGUUACUCCGUGAGGUAUGAGAUGUUAAACCGCAAACCACUGACUCAGUACAUAGCACUACGACCAUGUAGGCCUAGCCCUAGUAUGAAACAAACACAGUGUCUAAUACACCACAUAAAACAUCCAGUGCGCUGAUAGUACAUGCUACUCUAUGCAUCCCGCAUUUCCUCAUAAGGAUAUAUGUAUAUCUCCAGGCGUACAGUAGUCCAUCUCUGUACUUCCAGAAUCUGCGCGUCGGUGACUGAUACAAACGUCUUUGUACCCCCGUAAUCUCACUGCUCGUCGGCGGCUUACACAAACGUCUUUGUACACCCGCAAUCACACUGCUCGUCGGCGGCUUACACAAACGUCUUUGU